GGUGCAUCACGCAGGCGCGCGGACUUACGCGCGUAAGGUUGUACACCGCUGGUAGAGUGGCGAGCCGAGUAGGUCGCCACAAAAGAAAUUGACUAAAAUUUUUUGUUUUAAUUGCAAGUUUGAGAAAAGCACUAUACAUAUCUCGGCGAGAAACGGGAUUGCUGGCCGCGUAUCUCUAUCCGGCUUCGCUACGCUCAACCGUAUAUAUCUACUUGACCUGCGACCCUACGUUUCCCGGCCUCUGUAGUAAUGUACUAUUAACGAUAAAUACUCUGUGUUAACAAGGGAAAUUUUAUUAUCUAAGUGGUACAAAUUGCAGUGUAUGUGUAAUUAUAUUAACAUUAUUCGUUAUUAUUUUGAACGUCAACGUUGAGUGUACUGAUCCAGGCAGCUGCGUCGGGUGUGAGAUGCAGCAGAUCUUCUGGUGGCAGUUACACCACAUGGAGAAUGGACUUGCAAACAAGAGGAGAUACAAAGCGAAGCUAGCACAAGUUCUGACAAUCAGGCAAAAA